CAGCCGCCACGGUAAUACGAAGGGUGCGAGCGUUACUCGGAAUUACUGGGCGUAAAGCGUGCGUAGGUGGUGGUUUAAGUCCGUUGUGAAAGCCCUGGGCUCAACCUGGGAAUUGCAGUGGAUACUGGGUCACUAGAGUGUGGUAGAGGAUAGUGGAAUUUCCGGUGUAGCAGUGAAAUGCGUAGAGAUCGGAAGGAACAUCUGUGGCGAAGGCGACUAUCUGGGCCAACACUGACACUGAGGCACGAAAGCGUGGGGAGCAAACAGGAUUAGAUACCCCUGUAGUCCCUGUCUCUUAUAC
rnacentral:rRNA from 1 species